AGUGAACGCUGGCGGUAGGCCUAACACAUGCAAGUCGAACGGCAGCACAGUAAGAGCUUGCUCUUACGGGUGGCGAGUGGCGGACGGGUGAGGCAUACAUCGGAAUCUACUUUUUCGUGGGGGAUAACGUAGGGAAACUUACGCUAAUACCGCAUACGACCUACGGGUGAAAGCAGUGGAUCUUCGGACCUUUCGCGAUUGAAUGAGCCGAUGUCGGAUUAGCUAGUUGGCGGGGUAAAGGCACACCAAGGCGACGAUCCGUAGCUGGUCUGAGAGGAUGAUCAGCCACACUGGAACUGAGACACGGUCCAGACUCCUACGGGAGGCAGCAGUGGGGAAUAUUGGACAAUGGGCGCAAGCCUGAUCCAGCCAUACCGCGUGGGUGAAGAAGGCCUUCGGGUUGUAAAGCCCUUUUGUUGGGAAAGAAAAGCAGCAGGUUAAUACCCGGCUGUUCUGACGGUACCCAAAGAAUAAGCACCGGCUAACUUCGUG
rnacentral:rRNA from 1 species